rnacentral:rRNA from 1 species
UACGUAGGGUGCAAGCGUUGUCCGGAAUUAUUGGGCGUAAAGAGCUCGUAGGCGGUCUGUCGCGUCGGCUGUGAAAACUCGGGGCUCAACUCCGAGCUUGCAGUCGAUACGGGCAGACUAGAGUUCGGCAGGGGAGACUGGAAUUCCUGGUGUAGCGGUGAAAUGCGCAGAUAUCAGGAGGAACACCGGUGGCGAAGGCGGUUCUCUGGGCCUUACCUGACGCUGAGGAGCGAAAGCGUGGGGAGCAAACAGG